AGGCUCUUAAGAUCGGGUUGCGGU
rnacentral:siRNA from 1 species